rnacentral:rRNA from 1 species
GACGAACGCUGGCGGCGUGCUUAACACAUGCAAGUCGAACGGAAAGGCCCUGCUUUUGUGGGGUGCUCGAGUGGCGAACGGGUGAGUAACACGUGAGUAACCUGCCCUUGACUUUGGGAUAACUUCAGGAAACUGGGGCUAAUACCGGAUAGGAGCUCCUGCUGCAUGGUGGGGGUUGGAAAGUUUCGGCGGUUGGGGAUGGACUCGCGGCUUAUCAGCUUGGUGGUGGGGUAGUGGCUUACCAAGGCUUUGACGGGUAGCCGGCCUGAGAGGGUGACCGGCCACAUUGGGACUGAGAUACGGCCCAGACUCCUACGGGAGGCAGCGGUGGGGAAUAUUGCACAAUGGGCGGAAGCCUGAUGCAGCAACGCCGCGUGCGGGAUGACGGCCUUCGGUUUGUAAACCGCUUUCGCCUGUGACGAAGCGUGAGUGACGGUAAUGGGUAAAGAAGCACCGGCUAACUACGUG